UUGCCCUAGUAACGGCGAGUGAAGCGGCAACAGCUCAAAUUAAUCUGGCUCUUUUAGAGUCCGAGUUGUAAUUUGCAGAGGGCGCUUUGGCUUUGGCAGCGGUCCAAGUUCCUUGGAACAGGACGUCACAGAGGGUGAGAAUCCCGUACGUGGUCGCUAGCUAUUGCCGUGUAAAGCCCCUUCGACGAGUCGAGUUGUUUGGGAAUGCAGCUCUAAAUGGGAGGUAAAUUUCUUCUAAAGCUAAAUAUUGGCCAGAGACCGAUAGCGCACAAGUAGAGUGAUCGAAAGAUAAGCACUUUGGAAAGAGAGUCAAACAGCACGUGAAAUUGUUGAAAGGGAAGCGCUUGCAGCCAGACUUGCUUGCAGUUGCUCAUCCGGGCUUUUGCCCGGUGCACUCUUCUGCAGGCAGGCCAGCAUCAGUUUGGGGCGUGGGAUAAAGGUCUCUGUCACGUUCCUUCCUUCGGGUUGGCCAUAUAGGGGAGACGUCAUACCACCAGCCUGGACUGAGGUCCGCGCAUCUGCUAGGAUGCUGGCG
rnacentral:rRNA from 1 species